rnacentral:rRNA from 1 species
GGGAGGCAGCAGUGGGGAAUUUUCCGCAAUGGGCGAAAGCCUGACGGAGCAAUACCGCGUGAGGGAUGACGGCCUGUGGGUUGUAAACCUCUUUUCUCAAGGAAGAAGUUCUGACGGUACUUGAGGAAUAAGCAUCGGCUAACUCUGUGCCAGCAGCCGCGGUAAUACA